GACGAACGCUGGCGGCGGGCUUAACACAUGCAAGUCGAACGGAAAGGCCCUGCUUUUGUGGGGUUCUCGAGUGGCGAACGGGUGAGUAACACGUGAGUAACCUGCCCUUGACUUUGGGAUAACUUCAGGAAACUGGGGCUAAUACCGGAUAGGAGCUCCUGCUGCAGGGUGGGGGUUGGAAAUUUGCGGCGGUUGGGGAUGGACUCGCGGCUUAUCAGCUUGUUGGUGGGGUAGUGGCUUACCAAGGCUUUGACGGGUAGCCGGCCUGAGAGGGUGAACGGCCACAUUGGGACUGAGAUACGGACCAGACUGCAACGGGAGGCAGCAGUGGGGAAUAUUGCCCAAUGGGCGGAAGUCUGAUGAAGAAACGCCGCGUGCGGGAUGACGGCCUUCGGGUUGUAAAACGCUUUAGCCUGUGACGCAGCGUGAGUGACGGUAAUGAGUAAAGAAGCACCGGCUAACUACGUG
rnacentral:rRNA from 1 species